rnacentral:rRNA from 1 species
GAUGAACGCUAGCGGGAGGCCUAACACAUGCAAGCCGAGCGGUAUUUGUCUUUCGGGACAGAGAGAGCGGCGUACGGGUGCGGAACACGUGUGCAACCUGCCUUUAUCUGGGGGAUAGCCUUUCGAAAGGAAGAUUAAUACCCCAUAAUAUAUUGAUUCGCAUGGAUUGAUAUUGAAAACUCCGGUGGAUAGAGAUGGGCACGCGCAAGAUUAGAUAGUUGGUGAGGUAACGGCUCACCAAGUCAGUGAUCUUUAGGGGGCCUGAGAGGGUGAUCCCCCACACUGGUACUGAGACACGGACCAGACUCCUACGGGAGGCAGCAGUGAGGAAUAUUGGACAAUGGGUGAAAGCCUGAUCCAGCCAUCCCGCGUGAAGGACGACGGCUCUAUGGAUUGUAAACUUCUUUUAUAUAGGGAUAAACCUACUUACGUGUAAGUAGCUGAAGGUACUAUAUGAAUAAGCACCGGCUAACUCCGUGCCAGCCGCCGCGGUAA